CUUAUAUAACCUUAUUUGAAUGUGUCUUUUUGACACACUUUAGAGCAGGAACUUUUUUUGGAGUUUAUUAAAUCAAGCUCCUUAUUUUACAUAAAACGUACCAGUGUUCGUAACUGCUGUGUCAGCUUUGUGCCUCCACUUCGCUGCUCCAGGAACACCUUUAUACAAUGACACCCGCGAGAGCUUCCCCCUCAUCUGGCCCACUGACCAGAAGUCAACGCCUGGCACGGCACUUCUGGUCAGGCCCCCUGCACCUGUGCGACCGUUCACUUAGUGCAGAGGACUUCGCUUUGGCAUGGCUACCACUCAAAGGCAAUACUGCAGGCUUCGGAGGGCAGGGACUCUGCAGACACUCUGGACGCCUGCGAAGCCCGGAUGCACUGCUGGGCAGCUCCUGCCGCUGGGAGAUCUCCUCGGCUCGUGAACUUCAGACAGGCCUAAGGCUUCUCAGCAGAGCAGUGCACAGCAUCCCAGGCACAGCCAGGACUUCGGCCUGCACUUCCCUAGCCUGGCUGGGACUUCGCCUUCCCUUGCACCACUCCCACCUCUGGAUUAGCUGCUCUGCUUUCCAUGAUGAGCCACUCUUCCCAGCCCGUCACUCCCACCUCAGGCGGACUCGAUGCUUCUCUCUUCUUGGGCACCACAGGGCUGUUUUCUUUCUAUGACCUGAGACAUGGGCUCCUCACAGUGAGGUUCUGGCGGCGCUCAUGGCACCUGCUCAGUCCUCGGACGCCCACGGUGCCCAGCAUCCAGUGGGUUCAAGUGUUAACCACGUGGAGAACAAAGGUAACUGUUUCAACUACUCUUGCAAAAAGACUGAGAAAAAGAGGAAGGCCGAGAAGCACGCACACUCCCAACCAUGACCGUGUGAGUGGGCGGGCCCAGAGUCCUGGCGUGACUGGGGCGAGACGUGGCCUCUGGCCCACAACCCCCUCCGCAGAGCUCUGUGCUCGCUUGGGAUGGACAAAGCCUCGGAUUACUCCUAAGCCCGAGCUGCUGCUCUGCCGGAGAAAUGAGAGAGUGCCAGGACCAAAUUAAAUAGCUGGAAAUAUUUCACAAACAACAUUCAACAACGAACUUUCAAAGCUAAGUUUAGUGGUCUCAGUGCAGACUCCUCGAUUUGAAUUCCAGCUCCAUCCCCUUCUCGGUCUGUGAGACUCAGUUAGCUAAAGUGUUUGUCCAUCUGCAGUGAGAAUGAUGACAAUGCACGCUUCACACCUAGGGUUACUGUGGGGAUUACACGUUUACAUACGCACAGCAUUUAGAACAAGCCACAGUAGACAGGAAACAGUUACUGUUAGCUGCUAUUAUCUUUAUCUUAAAUAGUGGCUGUUUAAUUAAUAACCAACAUUAUAAUCUGUUCUUAGAUUAUAAGAAAGGGCCCCUGAGACAGAGACUGAGCUUUAAGAAGUCUCUUAAAUAUUCUGCACUACUUGAGUAUUAAUAUAGGAGCAGCUGAGCAAAUAAGCACGUCCUAAAAGACCACAGUUGGUACUAGGUCCUAAUUAAGACCCUUUAAUUCAAUUGAUGCACUUUGCAAAAUUACUUAUAAUUUUUAUUUCUCCAUUUUCACAUUUAUAAGUACCCUACAAUUAGGGUAUGGGUUAACUAACAUGAUUAUCAAGGACUCUGAAACUCUAAAAACGGAAGUGACAAAUUUUCUUAUAAGCACUUAAUUUAUUAACAAUAUAGCAUAUUAUGCUAAUUCCUAUGAUACUUUCCAACUCUGGUUCUUAACUUCUAAAGUCUAAAUUUUCUCAAAGAACAUUAUAAAAUUAUGUAUAAAAAUAAAUUUCAGAAUCUGG
rnacentral:lncRNA from 1 species